rnacentral:lncRNA from 1 species
CUAAAUUGUUGUAGUUACAAGUCUGUUAAUACAAUGCUCUUGAUUCCUGUCUUGUGCUGAUCAUCUGGGAGGAAUCAAAGCAAUCAGCAUUAUACUGCUAAAACAUGCUGCCCAAAACUGUCAUCAUUUCACAUUCUCAGGACACAUCUUACAAAGAGUUUAGGAUUGCCUAGCAGAAUGCUGGUAGUGGAAGUGGAAUGGCAGAAUGGAGGACAUCUGGGAGGUCACAGGUGAAGUUAUGGGAAGGGGUGC